rnacentral:rRNA from 1 species
AUGCUGACGAGUGGCGAACGGGUGAGUAAUAUAUCGGAACGUGCCCAGUCGUGGGGGAUAACGCAGCGAAAGCUGUGCUAAUACCGCAUACGAUCUAAGGAUGAAAGCGGGGGAUCGCAAGACCUCGCGCGACUGGAGCGGCCGAUAUCAGAUUAGGUAGUUGGUAGGGUAAAGGCCUACCAAGCCAACGAUCUGUAGCUGGUCUGAGAGGGUGACCGGCCACACUGGGACUGAGACACGGCCCAGACUCC